rnacentral:rRNA from 1 species
GACGAACGCUGGCGGCGUGCUUAACACAUGCAAGUCGAACGGAAAGGCCCUUCGGGGUACUCGAGUGGCGAACGGGUGAGUAACACGUGGGUGAUCUGCCCUGCACUUUGGGAUAAGCCUGGGAAACUGGGUCUAAUACCGAAUAGGACCACGCUCUUCAUGGGGUGUGGUGGAAAGCUUUUGCGGUGUGGGAUGGGCCCGCGGCCUAUCAGCUUGUUGGUGGGGUAAUGGCCUACCAAGGCGACGACGGGUAGCCGGCCUGAGAGGGUGACCGGCCACACUGGGACUGAGAUACGGCCCAGACUCCUACGGGAGGCAGCAGUGGGGAAUAUUGCACAAUGGGCGCAAGCCUGAUGCAGCGACGCCGCGUGAGGGAUGACGGCCUUCGGGUUGUAAACCUCUUUCAGUACCGACGAAGCGCAAGUGACGGUAGGUACAGAAGAAGGACCGGCCGACUACGUGCCAGCCGCCGCCGUAAUAC